rnacentral:rRNA from 1 species
UAAGGGCGCACGGUGGAUGCCUUGGCACUAGAAGCCGAUGAAGGACGUUACUAACGACGAUAUGCUUUGGGGAGCUGUAAGUAAGCUUUGAUCCAGAGAUUUCCGAAUGGGGAAACCCAGCAUGAGUUAUGUCAUGUUAUCGAUAUGUGAAUACAUAGCAUAUCAGAAGGCACACCCGGAGAACUGAAACAUCUUAGUACCCGGAGGAAGAGAAAGAAAAUUCGAUUCCCUUAGUAGCGGCGAGCGAAACGGGAAGAGCCCAAACCAACAAGCUUGCUUGUUGGGGUUGUAGGACACUCUAUACGGAGUUACAAAGGACGACAUUAGACGAAUCAUCUGGAAAGAUGAAUCAAAGAAGGUAAUAAUCCUGUAGUCGAAAAUGUUGUCUCUCUUGAGUGGAUCCUGAGUACGACGGAGCACGUGAAAUUCCGUCGGAAUCUGGGAGGACCAUCUCCUAAGGCUAAAUACUCUCUAGUGACCGAUAGUGAACCAGUACCGUGAGGGAAAGGUGAAAAGCACCCCGGAAGGGGAGUGAAAUAGAACCUGAAACCGUGUGCUUACAAGUAGUCAGAGCCCGUUAAUGGGUGAUGGCGUGCCUUUUGUAGAAUGAACCGGCGAGUUACGAUUUGAUGCAAGGUUAAGCAGUAAAUGUGGAGCCGUAGCGAAAGCGAGUCUGAAUAGGGCGUUUAGUAUUUGGUCGUAGACCCGAAACCAGGUGAUCUACCCUUGGUCAGGUUGAAGUUCAGGUAACACUGAAUGGAGGACCGAACCGACUUACGUUGAAAAGUGAGCGGAUGAACUGAGGGUAGCGGAGAAAUUCCAAUCGAACCUGGAGAUAGCUGGUUCUCUCCGAAAUAGCUUUAGGGCUAGCCUCAAGUGAUGAUUAUUGGAGGUAGAGCACUGUUUGGACGAGGGGCCCCUCUCGGGUUACCGAAUUCAGACAAACUCCGAAUGCCAAUUAAUUUAACUUGGGAGUCAGAACAUGGGUGAUAAGGUCCGUGUUCGAAAGGGAAACAGCCCAGACCACCAGCUAAGGUCCCAAAAUAUAUGUUAAGUGGAAAAGGAUGUGGCGUUGCCCAGACAACUAGGAUGUUGGCUUAGAAGCAGCCAUCAUUUAAAGAGUGCGUAAUAGCUCACUAGUCGAGUGACACUGCGCCGAAAAUGUACCGGGGCUAAACAUAUUACCGAAGCUGUGGAUUGUCCUUUGGACAAUGGUAGGAGAGCGUUCUAAGGGCGUUGAAGCAUGAUCGUAAGGACAUGUGGAGCGCUUAGAAGUGAGAAUGCCGGUGUGAGUAGCGAAAGACGGGUGAGAAUCCCGUCCACCGAUUGACUAAGGUUUCCAGAGGAAGGCUCGUCCGCUCUGGGUUAGUCGGGUCCUAAGCUGAGGCCGACAGGCGUAGGCGAUGGAUAACAGGUUGAUAUUCCUGUACCACCUAUAAUCGUUUUAAUCGAUGGGGGGACGCAGUAGGAUAGGCGAAGCGUGCGAUUGGAUUGCACGUCUAAGCAGUAAGGCUGAGUAUUAGGCAAAUCCGGUACUCAUUAAGGCUGAGCUGUGAUGGGGAGAAGACAUUGUGUCUUCGAGUCGUUGAUUUCACACUGCCGAGAAAAGCCUCUAGAUAGAAAAUAGGUGCCCGUACCGCAAACCGACACAGGUAGUCAAGAUGAGAAUUCUAAGGUGAGCGAGCGAACUCUCGUUAAGGAACUCGGCAAAAUGACCCCGUAACUUCGGGAGAAGGGGUGCUCUUUAGGGUUAACGCCCAGAAGAGCCGCAGUGAAUAGGCCCAAGCGACUGUUUAUCAAAAACACAGGUCUCUGCUAAACCGUAAGGUGAUGUAUAGGGGCUGACGCCUGCCCGGUGCUGGAAGGUUAAGAGGAGUGGUUAGCUUCUGCGAAGCUACGAAUCGAAGCCCCAGUAAACGGCGGCCGUAACUAUAACGGUCCUAAGGUAGCGAAAUUCCUUGUCGGGUAAGUUCCGACCCGCACGAAAGGCGUAACGAUUUGGGCACUGUCUCAACGAGAGACUCGGUGAAAUCAUAGUACCUGUGAAGAUGCAGGUUACCCGCGACAGGACGGAAAGACCCCGUGGAGCUUUACUGUAGCCUGAUAUUGAAAUUCGGCACAGCUUGUACAGGAUAGGUAGGAGCCUUUGAAACGUGAGCGCUAGCUUACGUGGAGGCGCUGGUGGGAUACUACCCUAGCUGUGUUGGCUUUCUAACCCGCACCACUUAUCGUGGUGGGAGACAGUGUCAGGCGGGCAGUUUGACUGGGGCGGUCGCCUCCUAAAAGGUAACGGAGGCGCUCAAAGGUUCCCUCAGAAUGGUUGGAAAUCAUUCAUAGAGUGUAAAGGCAUAAGGGAGCUUGACUGCGAGACCUACAAGUCGAGCAGGGUCGAAAGACGGACUUAGUGAUCCGGUGGUUCCGCAUGGAAGGGCCAUCGCUCAACGGAUAAAAGCUACCCCGGGGAUAACAGGCUUAUCUCCCCCAAGAGUUCACAUCGACGGGGAGGUUUGGCACCUCGAUGUCGGCUCAUCGCAUCCUGGGGCUGUAGUCGGUCCCAAGGGUUGGGCUGUUCGCCCAUUAAAGCGGUACGCGAGCUGGGUUCAGAACGUCGUGAGACAGUUCGGUCCCUAUCCGUCGUGGGCGUAGGAAAUUUGAGAGGAGCUGUCCUUAGUACGAGAGGACCGGGAUGGACAUACCUCUGGUGUACCAGUUGUCGUGCCAACGGCAUAGCUGGGUAGCUAUGUGUGGACGGGAUAAGUGCUGAAAGCAUCUAAGCAUGAAGCCCCCCUCAAGAUGAGAUUUCCCAACUUCGGUUAUAAGAUCCCUCAAAGAUGAUGAGGUUAAUAGGUUCG